UCUAUAGAAAUUGACGUAUGAUCUUGGGUACAGUUGUAUUGGUUAACGACGUAGAUCGAGAUUUAAUAACACAAUACAAACUAUAAUACAUUUUAUUUAAGGCUUAUUGUAAAACAACUAGAAGCUGACAAAUAUUCCGGUUAAUUCUUCAGUAAAUUAUCUGGUAACACUAGCGGGUUUUUUUCCCGCGGAAACUGAUAACGUGACUCUAAAUGUUGCCGCGAAAGAUGCUUCUGGGACGCCAUAUUGGUUUUUUGGUUCGUGCCGAAGGUUGAUGUCUAAUUCCCUAAUGGCCCAAUUUAAUUUAAAGGGAAAUAAAGGGAGGCGGUCCAUAAUGGACUUAGAAAUUUACAAAGUUGUCCGAGAUAGUGUAAUGAUCAGUCAGCCGAGCUGCAAUGAAGCCGAGAUAAUAACAGCAGUUUCGGCUCAUCUAAAAUAAGAGCCGGACAGACGAGGGACCAAUUAAGUACAUGUACAGUUUAAAUUUGUUUAUUACAUGUCAUAUUUUAUUAUAAUGUUUA